UGGGGAAUAUUGGACAAUGGGCGCAAGCCUGAUCCAGCCAUGUCGCGUGAGUGAUGAAGGCCUUAGGGUUGUAAAGCUCUUUCAUCGGUGAAGAUAAUGACGGUAACCGGAGAAGAAGCCCUGGCUAACUUCGUGUCAGCAGCCGCGGUAAUACGAAGGGGGCUAGCGUUGUUCGGAUUUACUUGGCGUAAAGCGCACGUAGGCGGACUAUUAAGUCAGGGGUGCAAUCCCGAGGCUCAACCCCGGAACUGCCUUUGAUACUGGUAGUCUUGAGUUCGAGAGAGGUGAGUGGAAUUCCGUGUGUAUAGGUGCAAUUCGUAGAUAUUCGGAGGAACACCAGUGGCGAAGGCGGCUCACUGGAUCGUUACUGACGCUGAGGUGCGAAAGAGUGGGGAGCAAACAUG
rnacentral:rRNA from 1 species